rnacentral:rRNA from 1 species
UACGUAGGCAGCAAGCGUUGUUCGGAGUUACUGGGCGUAAAGAGUGUGUAGGCUGUUCUCUAAGUUUGGUGUGAAAUCUCCCGGCUUAACUGGGAGGGUGCGCCGAAAACUGGAGGCCUUGAGUAUGGGAGAGGAAAGCGGAAUUCCUGGUGUAGCGGUGAAAUGCGUAGAUAUCAGGAGGAACACCUGCGGUGUAGACGGCUUUCUGGACCAUCACUGACGCUGAGACACGAAAGCGUGGGGAGCAAACAGG